AGUUAAUGAGCUUGAACAAGCAUAUGUUUUGAAAACAUAAGAUAGAAAUUCAAUUUUCUAUUAACUU
rnacentral:tRNA from 1 species